UGGCCGCGGGAUUUGAUAAGGGGACACCGAGUGCCAGCAUCAUAUGUUGGCUGUCCAGAUGUGUAAAAUACAUCUGUUAGCAAGGGCCGGGCAAGACCGGUGCCAGCCGCCGCGGUAACACCGGCGGCCCGAGUGGUGAUCGUGAUUAUUGGGUCUAAAGGGUCCGUAGCCGGUUUGGUCAGUCCUCCGGGAAAUCUGACGGCUCAACCGUUAGGCUUUCGGUGGAUACUGCCAGACUUGGAACCGGGAGAGGUAAGAGGUACUACAGGGGUAGGAGUGAAAUCUUGUAAUCCCUGUGAGACCACCUGUGGCGAAGGCGUCUUACCAGAACGGGUUCGACGGUGAGGGACGAAAGCUGGGGGCACGAACCGGAUUAGAUACCCGGGUAGUCCCAGCCGUAAACGAUGCUCGCUAGGUGUCAGGCAUGGCGCGACCGUGUCUGGUGCCGCAGGGAAGCCGUGAAGCGAGCCACCUGGGAAGUACGGCCGCAAGGCUGAAACUUAAAGGAAUUGGCGGGGGAGCAAAUCACUAGUGCGGCCGCCUGCAGGUCGACCAUAUGGGAGAGCUCCCAACGCGUUGGAUGCAUAGCUUGAGUAUUCUAUAGUGUCACCUAAAUAGCUUGGCGUAAUCAUGGUCAUAGCUGUUUCCUGUGUGAAAUUGUUAUCCGCUCACAAUUCCACACAACAUACGAGCCGGAAGCAUAAAGUGUAAAGCCUGGGGUGCCUAAUGAGUGAGCUAACUCACAUUAAUUGCGUUGCGCUCACUGCCCGCUUUCCAGUCGGGAAACCUGUCGUGCCAGCUGCAUUAAUGAAUCGGCCAACGCGCGGGAGAGGCGGUUUGCGUAUUGGGCGCUCUUCCGCUUCCUCGCUCACUGACUCGCU
rnacentral:rRNA from 1 species